CGAAAGCGCGAUGAGGGGAUCCCAAGUGCUUGCACUUAAGUGUAAGCUGUUUCUUUGUUUAAAAUGCAGAGAGAGGAAGGGCUGGGUAAGACGGGUGCCAGCCGCCGCGGUAAUACCUGCAGCUCAAGUGGUGACCGCUAUUAUUGGGCCUAAAACGUUCGUAGCCGGCUGAGUAAAUGCUUGGGUAAAUCGUGCCGCUUAACGGUACGAAUUCCGGGUAGACUGCUCAGCUUGAGACCGGGAGAAGCUAGAGGUACUCCUGGGGUAGAGGUGAAAUUCUGUAAUCCUGGGGGGACCACCAGUGGCGAAGGCGUCUAGCUAGAACGGGUCUGACGGUGAGGGACGAAACCCUGGGGCGCAAACCGGAUUAGAUACCCGGG
rnacentral:rRNA from 1 species